rnacentral:rRNA from 1 species
CUCUUAGAUGUUCUGGGCCGCACGCGUGCUACACUGAGUGGAUCAGCGGGUCAGGUUGCGCGAAAGCGUUUCCUAAUCUUUAAAUCCGCUCGUGAUGGGGAUUGACGGUUGCAAUUUUCUGUCAUGAACGAGGAAUACCUUGUAAGCGCGGGUCAUCAUCCCGCGCUGAAUACGUCCCUGCCCUUUGUACACACCGCCCGUCGCUCCUACCGAUUGAGUGGUCCGGUGAGGCUUUGGGAUCUGAGCGGAAAGAGCGUUUCGCUGUUUCUGCUCGGAAAACUCAGUCGAACCUUAUCAUUUAGAGGAAGGAGAAGUCGUAACG